AAGUCAAUUUUGAUAAAAAUUCCUGUCUCAGUGGUUAGCGGAAUACAUUGCAUACUAGUGCUUUAUGGCGCAGGGAUACAUGUUUUCUUGGUCUUAUUGGGCAGCUGAAGAAAGUAUGAAGAAAUACUGUUGCUUCUGAAACCACAGAUCUAGUUUCUUCUGUGCCACCAGCCAUUUCACUUUACUAUGCGUCUACCUCAUAUGUCGACAUGCUCCUCAAAAUUACCUAUUAAAACUUGUCCACACAGCAGAAAUAAUAAAAAUAGAGAAAAAGGGCAGAGCAAAAAAUGACUAACAUUUUAUCUCUCAAUCUGACAUGAAUCAGUUCUAGACCCAUAUCAUAUGGGUUCAGAUACAUUCUAUUCUACAACUCCUUCUUCUUCUUCUUCUUCCUUUUUUCUUUUUUGUUUAACAGAGAAUGAGAUCUUCAUUUUUAUUACUACUUAAAUGCAUUUACAAUUACUUCAAAAGUACAUACAAGUGCCUAUAUUUUUCUUUUGUUUUCUCUAAGUCCAUCGUUAAAUGGACAACUUUCAUUUAAGUUCAUCCAAUGGCUCAUAUUUCAUUUCAUAUUUAUUCUUAGAAAUUCAAAAUUAUAUUUUGAUUUACAAAUUAAAAGAUUUUAGCCUCAACAGUUUUUGAUAAAGCUAUAGAGAGAAAACAUCAGUAAUCCAACUUGGUAGGUAAGCAUACCAAAGAUGAACCUUGAAAAAACUGAAGCAGUUGCAACAUUAAGAAAAAAAGUUUCAAAUAAAGUCAAUUUUGCCAACACACAUUAUCUUCUAUAACUUUCAUUUUGUCCCCAUGGAAACACAUUAUGCCAUGACCACUUAGUAAAUCAAUUUCCUUAGAUUUUGAAGGAAAACAAAGGAAAUUAAAGCUGAAUAUAGCUCAUCCGAACAGGGUACACUACUCUCCUUGUUCCUCAUGUUUGGAAUCAACAUUUCGGUAAGUAACAUAAGACCCUCCAAUUCAAUGACCCCAGAAAUGCAAAAAUUUCAUCAAAAAACUAUGCAUAAGUGGAUCAAUCAUUAGUAUUUUCGCUUGAACUACGGUCAUGCCAGUCCUUAGAGUUGGGAUCGCAAAUUGGUUUCACGAAACACGGAAUCUAAACUAUUUAGCCCCCGGCAUAUAUAAUAUAAAUACAAAGAAAACUGAACAUAUUGAUUCUCCUCGUCAACAAAAAUAGGACUUCAUUUAUUGGUGUCAAAUAUACUGAAGCAAAUUCAUAUUUUUGCAGUAAGUUGGGGGCAAUCCCCUAUAAUUUUAUAAAAUUAGUGUUUUAUAUAUAUAUACACACACUGUAACCCUAUUUAGUUUUUAGAUAUAGCUUGAGAACGUAAUCACAUUGCCUAACCUCAUUAAAUUUUGUAUCCUCCGUUUCUUUAAUUUUUUCUCAACAAGAUAUCAAAUGCUGGAUAAUCCACCCAAUAAUCUUGGAGCGGAAAUUCUCUUUGCUGCUGCUAGGUUAUGGUAGUAAACUCAAAUCAAGUGUGCAAUUAUAUGCUGCUAUGGCUAUUGCUAGUGUUGGUUGUGUGAUUUGUUUGCAUCUCAAGCCUGCCGAAGUCCUUUGGAAGUUCGUUACUUGGCGAAUGUGGAUAAGAGAGAAAAGAAGCUGGUGGAGGUGCAAUGGAGAGAUAGAGGAAGUCUUUUCUUUCCAUAUGGAUGGUCAUAUCCGCUUUGUUCCUCUUUUUAGAAGAAUGGUGGUGGUUGGCUAGCGACGGUGCGUCGAGCUUCCUCUGCCGGUCCAAUUUGCUUAUGGUCAAUGUGCGUUACUGUCUCAAACCUUACUUUUUUAGUGAUUGGAUUCAAGUUCUAGGAGUCCUUUGGAGAUUGGAUGCAACAUAUAAAAUUCGAUCUCCCAUGUCGAUGAGGCUUCCAGGGUAGGAAGGGAACGAUUUUGGCAACAUAUUUGUCUAGGGACUAGAUUGUAUUUUUCCUGUAAUUGUAGGCCAUAAAGAAGGGUUUAUUUUAGGUUUAAUGAGUUUUGUACCUGUAUCUUUAAACGUUUAGUUUUAUUUAUUA